rnacentral:rRNA from 1 species
UUGAGUUUGAUCAUGGCUCAGAUUGAACGCUGGCGGCAGGCCUAACACAUGCAAGUCGAGCGGCAGCACGGGAAGCUUGCUUCCUGGUGGCGAGCGGCGGACGGGUGAGUAAUGCAUAGGAAUCUGCCCGGUAGUGGGGGAUAACCUGGGGAAACCCAGGCUAAUACCGCAUACGUCCUACGGGGGAAAGCAGGGGCUCUUCGGACCUUGCGCUAUCGGAUGAGCCUAUGUCGGAUUAGCUGGUUGGUGAGGUAAUGGCUCACCAAGGCGACGAUCCGUAGCUGGUCUGAGAGGAUGAUCAGCCACAUCGGGACUGAGACACGGCCCGAACUCCUACGGGAGGCAGCAGUGGGGAAUAUUGGACAAUGGGCGCAAGCCUGAUCCAGCCAUGCCGCGUGUGUGAAGAAGGCCCUCGGGUUGUAAAGCACUUUCAGUGGGGAAGAAAGCCUGGUGGUUAAUACCCGUCAGGAAGGACAUCACCCACAGAAGAGCCG